UGGGCAGAGUUCAGUUGCAUGGAAGUUGUUGGGGUGAGAGGACUGCAUUUCCGAACAAACAUCCAGUGACUGCACAUGGUCAUUGCUUUCAUGAAAUAGUAACAAAGUCUUCGUGCGACAUACAGUCUCUGACAUUCUUUGUGUUGGUGAUUUUAUGAAUUUUGCGAAGUUCUUUAUAUUAACUUUCGACUGACUGACUUCGGUAGACUCUUACUGGCGUUCAGGGCCUGUGACGCCGACGUCUUCAGGCCUGUGUGCUGCUGCAAAGAAGGCGUCAAAAGAUGGACUUCCAUCGACGCCUCCAGUUACAGAGUGUUAUAUUAUUUUAAGAGGGAUAAAGUACUGAGGACAGAGGAACCAGAUGUGGAAGAAAUGUGAAAAAUACGCGGGAGAAAUACGGAAAGGAGAUAAAGAUAGAAAUUUCUUAACUACUUCGAUAAGUUAUUAGAAGAUGUCUCUUCAUUCAUGAAAAGGAUAAGUCUGGCGGCCAGUUAAAUGCAACCAACGUUUGAAAGCUUCCACCAACAAAUGAGAAAGUUAAUUCCUAUCAUUAGCUGCAGCUAGAAGACUAAGUCACCUCUGUCACACCGAAUAAAGCCCAAAUGCAAAUAAGCAUCCUUAGCCAACAAACACUGCGGGCCUAGUAGAAAUGUAGACAUUGGCUAAAGAAACUUUCGUCAGAAUUCAUUCCACACUUAACGAGAAUUAAACGUUGUUCUGCGGUUUCA